CGAGCGAAAGGACGAAGCCGAGUGGCAAACGAGCACCGCCGCCGCGGCAGUUCUCUGUUCUCCGCUCUGUGUGUGGUUGUAAAAAGGCGAAAACGUCACGGGAAAAACCGGUUAAUAAAUUAUUGCUAAUCGAAUGGAAACUUGAAGGUUUACAAAACAAAACAGACCACAACAGAUGCUUCUAGAUCAUACGAAAUAUAACCAAACCGAUUUAUGAUGGGCAAAGAAGUAAUACGGAUUGUUUUCGUUAAUUUAUUUUAAUUUUGGGACAACGGAGGCACUAAAACCCAAAGGAAGCCUGACUCAAGCUCUUGCUUUUACAUUAGCUUCUGCCUGUAAAGCUAGCAAGGAAAUUUCUUCGAGCAACAU